AGUGAACGCUGGCGGCGUGCCUAAUACAUGCAAGUCGAACGGAGUGGGGCACGGGUGAGUAAUGUAUAGCUAAUCUGCCCUACACUAGAGGGCAACAGUUGGAAACGACUGCUAAUAAUCUAUAGUGUAGGAUGAGGCUAUAUUGUAUCAGCUAGUUGGUGAGGUAAUGGCUCACCAAGGGUAUGACGCAUAACUGGUCUGAGAGGAUGAUCAGUCACACUCGAAGGGAGACACGGUCGGGACGCCUACGGGAGGCAGCAGUAGGGAAUAUUGCUCAAGGGGGGAAACCGUGGAGCAGCAACGCGGCGUGAAGGAUGACACUCUUCGGAGCGUAAACUCCGUUUGUUAGGGAAGCGGUACCUAACGAAUAAGCACCGGCUAACUCCGUGCCAGCAGCCGCGGUAAUUC
rnacentral:rRNA from 1 species